rnacentral:rRNA from 1 species
UUAGGAAUUUUGCGCAAUGGGGGUAACCCUGACGCAGCAACGCCGCGUGAGUGAUGAAGGCCUUCGGGUUGUAAAGCUCUUUUAGUGGGGACGAAAAAAAUGACGGUACCCGCAGAAAAAGCACCGGCUAACUCUGUGCCAGCAGCCGCGGUAAUACAGAGGGUGCAAGCGUUAUUCGGAUUUACUGGUCGUAAAGCGCAUGUAGGCGGUUUGGUAAGUUUGGUGUGAAAUCCCCCGACUUAAUCGGGGAAGUGCAUUGAAUACUGCCAGACUAGAGGACAGGAGGGGAGAACGGAAUUCCUGGUGUAGAGGUGAAAUUCGUAGAUAUCAGGAGGAACAACGGUGGCGAAGGCGGUUCUCUGGACUGUAACUGACGCUGAGGUGCGAAAGCGUGGGUAGCAAACA